ACUCGAUAUUGCGAAACCAAACUUGGUAUAAGAGCUCCCAACACUGCUAAACUGGUCAUCGCUAAACCUUUAAAAAAAAAAAAAAAGCAUUCGCUGGUACCCAGAUUUCCACAGGAGUUAAACAUUUCCUGCGCAGCUAAAGCAAGUCUUACCAGUAGGAAACCGGAACUUGCUAGGACUAAGAAACUUGAGGCUAGGCUGACCCCAUGGUUGUUAUGAUUAGAAAUCCGAGGCCACUGGAAACCCGGAGCUGCUGACCAACGAGUCACAGGGUAACUUCGCCUUCGCAUGGGGAAACGGGCUGGUGCAGUGGUGUCAUCUUGGCUCAGUGCAGCCUCGACUUCCUGGGAUCCAGCGAUCCUCCCGCUUCAGCCUCUAGAGUAGCCGAGACCACAGGUCACCCCUCGCUGCCAGGCUCUCUUCCCGGUCCAGAGCCCACAGGAUCCUACAGGAGGGGCCAACAACUGCUUGCCUUUGAAACUUGAAACUCUCGGUCUAAGGUUCCUUAGGAGCGUAAAAGGCACAGCGUUUUCUGAUCGCAGCUUCAGGUCUCCCGCCCCUGUCCCGGUACCUCUCCUGCAGGACGGAACUCUGUGGGAACGCUCGUUGAUUCUGAUGGUUAACUGUCAGAUAUCCUUGAUAUUGGACAUAGGAUUUGGAAGAGGGCAGGAGAGAAAAAUGAACUGCAAGACUCCAGCACAAGAGGAACAGAAACAACACACUCAGACUUGAGAAACUGGUCUGGUUUAAAAGGGUUCCUGGCCUUACAGGUGGGUAAGAAAUGUCACUUCCUGGCAGGCUGAGGAACAUCAGGAUAUUUGGAGGACCUUGACAAGGGAAGAAUUCACCGAAAUCUAUAGGUAUUCCAGGCAAAGUGUGAUAGCAAGAUCCUGGUAUGGUUUCCUAGCCUUGAGAGGCUUUUAAAAGUCUAAUUUGAGAUUCCUUAUUAAAAGAUCCAGAAAAGCCAACUUAAAGAGACCCUGUGUGGUAAAACACUAUUCCUGCUGCACUUGUGUAAAUAUUAGGCCAACUUUAAAGACACUAAAUUUAUUUUGCAAACAGAUUACUCUUACUAAUACUUUGAUGAUGUUUGAUAAAAAGGGAGUAAGUAUAGAGAAAAAACUUUCAGAGAAAAAAAUAUAGUGCACCUGUUAUUAGACUCUAGCUCAUUGUUUUUGAGGUUUUUUCGUCUACCUGAAAUCUAGACUGGAUCUUGAAUUUUUUGUUUCCUGUAAUAUCUGGCAAUGGGCUGGGUGUCAGAGCUCGCAACUGCAAUCCCAGCACUUUGGGAGGUCGAGGUGGGAGGAUUGCUGAAGCCCAAGACUUCGAGACCAGCCUGGGCAAAAGGCGAAACACCGUCUCUACAAAAAGUUCAAAAAUUUGCUGGGCAUGGAGGCAUGCGCCUGUGGUUGCAGCUGCUUGGAAGGUGGAGGUGGAAGGAUUGCUUGAGCCAAGGAGGUUGAGGCUGCAGUAAGCCUUGUUUGUGCCACUGCACUCCAGCCUCAAUUACAAAGCAAGGACCCCAUCUCAAAAAAAAAAAAAAAAAGGGCUGGACGCAUUGGCUCAUGCCUGUAAUCCCAGCACUUUGGCAGGUUGAGGCAGGUGGAUCACUUGAGGCUAGGAGUUCGAGGCCAGCCUGGCCAACAUGGUGAAAACCCAUCUCUACAAAAAAUACAAAAAUUAGCUGGGUGUGGUGGUGUGCACCUGUAAUUCUAGCUACUCGGGAGGCAGGGGCAGGAGAAUUGCUUGAACACAGAGGUGAAUGUUGCAGUGAGUGGAGAUGGUGACACUGUACUCCAGCCUGGGCGACAGAGCAAGACUUCACCUAAAAAAAAAAAAAGUCUAGCUAUGGCUCUUAAAACUAAUAUUUCUGAUUUUUCUUCUACCCUUCUGGCUUUGAACUGCUGAAAUUAAACUGCACUUUUCCUGAAGUCUUGUCAGCUGAAGCUGGAUGGGUUAAUAUAGACUGCAGAGAAAUCACCACCACUCAUACAUGGACUACUCAGAAAUUUCACCAGAACACCUCAUGCAAACUGCAAACCAGGAAAUUCCGUCAGAUUGCCACUGCCUGCCCCCAUUCAAACUGAAGAUACUUCAAGCUUAACAUCUAAAACUUUCUGACUGGCUGCCCUCUGGACUAAAAAAACUGAGUUUAUAGUCAGUUCCAAUCAUUAACCUUUGCUUUUCUCGUUUCAAUGAAAAUAUCUUUUUUUUUUUUUUUUUUUGAGACAGAGUUUUGCUGUUGUUGCCCAGGCUGGAGUGCAAUGGUACAAUCUCGGCUCAUUGCAACUUCCACCUUCUGGGUUCAAGUGAUUCUCCUGCCUCAGCCUCCUGAGUAGCUGCGAUUAUAGGAAUGUGCCACCACACCUGGCUAAUUUUGUAUUUUUAGUAGAGACAGGGUUUCUCCAUGUUGGUCAGGCUGGUCUCAAACUCCCUAGGUGAUCCGCCCGCCUCGGCCUCCCAAAGUGCUGGGAUUAUAGGCAUGAGCCACCACACCUGGCUGGAAAUAUCUCUUAUUAAAUGAAUGAUUGCUUAGGCCUAACUUUGGUGGAUGCCAUUCUGCAAUCCCACCACCUGACUCGAGACAGUCCUGUUAACUGUUUAACUGGACUGACCUAUUCUCAGGACUGAGAGACUGGUAUAAUGACUAGAUAAUAUAGUGACCCAGUUCCUGAACCGAGAAACUUUAUAAGGAGGUUUCAUGGUACCUUGGCAAUUGAGAAAACCAAAGAAGCAAGAAGGUCAGUAUUACCACAAUCACUAUGCCUUUCUGUGUGGCAGCUGGCCAUAAAGGAAUGCUCUGACCUACCUCCCCUGAAAGUAGGGCAUAAAGCCCUUAUUCCAGAGGAGUACUUCUUUACCCAGAGGCCAAAAGAAUCUGAACAGACAGCCAUUUCUGGGCUCCCCAGUGCCCAUUUAUUAGCACUAGAUAAUAUACUUAUUGUCCAAUCAUACUUCUACAUGACUUGUCCAUAGAAUCCAAGCCUAAAAAUACAUACUUUUCAUUGGGUCUUUGGUCCUCAUUUCUGAGGGCUCCCUUGUCAUGGAAAACUUUGUUAAAUAAUUUUUUAAUGGUUUUCUCUUGUUAAUCUGUUUUGUUGUAAGAUUGCAAGCCAUAACCCUGGCAAUGGGUGACAAAAAACUAUUAACUUCUUGUCUCCUACAAUAGACACUGUUAGUAACUGGACUCUACCCUCCCAUGGAAUUUCCCUCACUUCUUUUCUUGCCUGAUUCAAUCAUAACAACCCUGCUGACUUUCAAUUGUGCCUACAAUUUUCACCUUAAUCCUAUCAGGUCCUGAAGAAAUUUUUCCAGAUGAAUUAGUGAUCAUCUCCCAACUAUUUGGACUUUGGUGUCUGCCAUUCUGUAUAUAACAGAACAUACUAUAAAAGCACAGUCUGUACUGGACAGAAUCAUUUACUCCCUUUCCUAGACCAGCCACGUAGCUUGGCCUGAUCUGGAGGCUAAAAUAUGGAGCCCCAUUCAUCAUCUUUGGAAGAGCUGUCUUGAAGGCAGCAUGUCCAGAGCCCCACAUGCCACCAGACUUAAGCCUAAAGUAAGCUGGGAUUGGGCAAUGGACAACUUCACUGCACUGAGCCACCACUGCCAAUGUCCCCAGUUCUGUGCACAUAUGAAGUACAGUGCAUUCAGGCUGCCAUGCUGGGCUUACAUAGGCUAGAGUCAUUUCUGAAGUUUAAAGGGGACAAAAAUGUUGUUGAGACCCACACUCUGGGGCCAAUGGCUGAAACCACAGAAGAGCUACACUCACUUGAAAAAUAAGUGUAUGCUGAGAUCGUUCGAAGAUGGCUGAAUAGGAACAGCUCCAGUCUAAAGCUCCCAGCGUGAGCAACACAGAAGACAGGUGAUUUCUGCAUUUCCAACUGAGCUUUGAAGAGAGCAGUUGUUCUCCCAGCAUGGAGUUUGAGAUCUGAGAACGGACAGACUGCCUCCUUAAGUGGGUCCCUGGCCCCCGAGUAGCCUAACUGGGAGACACCUCCCAGUAGGGGCCAACUGACACCUCAUACAGCCGGGUGCCCCUCUGAGACGAAGCUUCCAGAGGAAGGAUCAGGAAGCAACAUUUGCUAUUCUGCAAUAUUUGCUGUUCUGCAGCCUCCACUGGUGAUACCCAGGCAAAUAAGGUCUGGAGUGGACCUCCAGCAAACUCCAACAGACCUGCAGCUGAGGGUUCUGACUGUUAGGAGGAAAACUAACAAACAGAAAGGAAUAGUAUCAACACCAACAAAAAGGACAUCCACACCAAACCCCAUCUGUAGGUUACCAUCAUCAAAGACCAAAGGUAGAUAAAACCACAAAGAUGGGGAGAAACCAGAGCAGAAAAGCUGAAAAUUCUAAAAUCAGAGCAUUUCUUCUCCUCCAAAGAAUCACAGCUCCUCGCCAUCAACGGAACAAAGCUGGACAGAGAAUAACUUUGACGAGGUGACAGAAGUAGGCUUCAGAAGAUCGGUAAUAACAAACUUCUCCGAGCUAAAGGAGGAUGUUCAAACUCAUCGCAAAGAAGCUAAAAACCUUGAAAAAAGAUUAGACGAAUGGCUAACUGGAAUAAACAGCAUAGAGAAGACCUUAAAUGACCUGAUGGAGCUGAAAACCAUGGCACAAGUACUACGUGAUGCAUGCACAAGCUUCAGUAGCCGAUUUGAUCAAGUGGAAGAAAGCGUAUCAGUGAUUGAAGAUCAAAAGAAUGAAAUGAAGUGAGAAGUUAGAGGAAAAAAGAGUAAAAAGAAAUGAACAAAGCCUCCAAGAAAUAUGGGACUAUGUGAAAGGGCCAAAUCUACAUUUGAUUGGUGUACCUGAAAGUGACAGGGAGAAUGGAACCAAGUUGGAAAACACUCUUCAGGAUAUUAUCCAGGAGAACUUCCCCAACCUAGCAAGGCAGGUCAACAUUCAAAUUUAGGAAAUGCAGAGAAUGCCACAAAGAUACUCCUCAAGAAGAGCAACCCCAAGACACAUAAUCGUCAGAUUCACCAAGGUUGAAAUGAAGGAAAAAAAGGUUAAGGGCAGCCAGAGAGAGGUCAGGUUACCCACAAAAGGAAGCCCAUCAGACUAACGGUGGCUCUCUCAGCAGAAACUCUACAAGCCAGAAGAGAGUGGGGGCCAAUAUUCAACAUUCUUAAAGAAUUUUCAACCCAGAAUUUCAUAUCCAGCCAAACUAAGCUUCAUAAGUGAAGGAAACAUAAAAUCCUUUACAGACAAGCAAGUGCUGAGAGAUUUUGUCACCACCAGGCCUGCCUUACAAGAGCUCCUGAAGGAAGCACUAAAGGAACAACCGGUACCAGCCACUGCAAAACAUGCCAAAUUGUAAAGACCAUUGGUGCUAGGAAGAAACUGCAUCAACUAACAAGCAAAAUAACCAGCUAACAUCAUAAUGACAAGAUCAAGUUCACACGUAACAAUACUAACCUUAAAUGUAAAUGGGCUAAAUGCCCCAAUUAAAAGACACAGACUGGCAAAUUGGAUAAAGAGUCAAGACCCAUCAGUGUGCUGUAUUCAGGAGACCCAUCUCACCUGCAGAGACACACAUAGGCUCAAAAUAAAGAGAUGGAGGAAGAUCUACCAAGCAAAUGGAAAACAAAAAAAGCAGGGGUUGCAAACCCACUCUCUGAUAAAACAGAUUUUAAACCAACAAAGAUCAAAAGAGACAAAAGAGACAAAGAAGGCCAUUACAUAAUGGUAAAGGGAUCAAUUCAACAAGAAGAGCUAACUAUCUUAAAUAUAUAUGCACCCAAUACAGGAGCACCCAGAUUCAUAAAGCAAGCCCUUAGAGACCUACAAAGAGACUUAGACUCCCACACAAUAAUAAUGGGAGACUUUAACACUCCACUCUCAACAUUAGACAGAUCAACAAGACAGAAAGUUAACAAGGAUAUCCAGGACUUGAACUCAGCUCUGCACCAAGUGGACCUAAUAGACAUCUACAGAACUCUCCACCCCAAAUCAACAGAAUAUAUACAUUCUUCUCAGCACCACACUGCACUUAUUCCAAAAUUGACCACAUAGUUGGAAGUAAAGCACUCCUCAGCAAACGUAAAAGUACAGAAAUUAUAACAAACUGUCUCUCAGACCAUAGUGCAAUCAAAUUAGAACUCAGGAUUAAGAAACUCACUCAAAACCGCAAAACUACAUGGAAAUUGAAUAACCUGCUCCUGAAUGACUACUGGGUACAUAACUAAAUGAAGGCAGAAAUAAAGAUGUUCUUUGAAACCAAUGAGAACAAAGACACAACAUACCAGAAUCUCUGGGACACAUUUAAAGCAGUGUGUAGAGGGAAAUUUAUAGCACUAAAUGCCCACAAGAGAAAGCAGGAAAGAACUAAAACUGACACGCUAACAUCACAAUUAAAAGAACUAGAGAAGCAAGAGCAAACAUAUUCAAAAGCUAGCAGAAGGCAAGAAAUAACUAAGAUCAGAGCAGAACUAAAGGAGACAGAGACACAAAAAACCCUUCAAAACAUCAAUGGUAUCCAGGAGCUGGUUUUUGGAAAAGAUCAACAAAAUUGAUAGACCACUAGCAAGACUAAUAAAGAAGAAAAGAGAGAAGAAUCAAAUAGACGCAAUAAAAAAUGAUAAAGGGGAUAUCACCACCGAUCCCACGGAAAUACAAACUACCAUCAGAGAAUACUAUAAACACCUCUAUGUAAAUAAACUAGAAAACCUAAAAGAAAUGGAUAAAUUCCUGGACACAUCCACCCUCCCAAGACUAAACCAGGAAGAAGUUGAAUCCCUGAAUAGACCAAUAACAGGCUCUGAAAUUGAGGCAAUAAUUAAUAGCCUACCAACCAAAAAAAGUCCAGGACCAGAUGGAUUCACAGCCAAAUUCUGUCAGCGGUAGGAAGAGGAGCUGGUACCAUUCCUUCUGAAAUUAUUCCAAUCAGUAGAAAAAGAUGGAAUCCUCCCUAACUCAUUUUAUGAGGCCAGCAUCAUCCUGACACCAAAGCCUGGCAGAGACACAACAAAAAAAGAGAAUUUUAGGCCAAUAUCACUGAUGAACAUCGAUGCAAAAAUCCUCAAUAAAAUACUGGCAAACUGAAUCCAGCAGCACAUCAAAAAGCUUAUCCACCAUGAUCAAGUUGGCUUCAUCCCUAGGGUGCAAGGCUCAUUCAACAUACACAAAUCAAUAAACCUAAUCCAUCAUAUAAACAGAACCAAAGACAAAAACCACAUGAUUAUCUCAAUAGAUGCAGAAAAGACCUUCAACAAAAUUCAACAACGCCUCAUGCUAAAAACUCUCAAUAAACUAGGUAUUGAUGGGACUUAUCUCAAAAUAAUAAGAGCUAUCUAUGACAAACCCACAGCCAAUAUCAUACUGAAUGGGCAAAAACUGGAAGCAUUCCCUUUGAAAACUGGCACAAGACAGGGAUGCCCUCUCUCACCACUCCUAUUCAACAUAGUGUUGGAAGUUCUGGCCAGGGCAAUCAGGCAGGAGAAAGAAAUAAAGGGUAUCCAUUUAGGAAAAGAGGAAGUCAAAUCCUCCCUGUUUGCAGAUAACAUGAUUGUAUAUCUAGAAAAUCCCAUCGUCUCAGCCCAAAAUCUCCUUAAGCUGAUAAGCAACUUCAGCAAAGUCUCAGGAUACAAAAUCAAUGUGCAAAAAUCACAAGCAUUCCUAUACAACAAUAACAAACAGAGAGCCAAAUACUGAGUGAACUCCCAUUCACAAUUGCUUCAAAGAGAAUAAAAUACCUAGGAAUCCAACUUACAAGGGAUGUGAAGGACCUCUUCAAGGAGAACUACAAACCACUGCUCAAUGAAAUAAAAGAGGACACAAACAAAUGGAAGAACAUUCCAUGCUCAUCGAUAGGAAGAAUCAGUAUUGUGAAAAUGGGCAUACUGCCCAAGGUAAUUUAUAGAUUUUUUUUUUUUAUUUUUUGAGACGGAGUCUCGCUCUGUUGCCCAGGCUAGAGUGCAGUGGCUUGAUCUUGGCUCACUGCAAGCUCCGCCUCCCGGGUUCAUGCCAUUCUCCUGCCUCAGCCUCCCAAGUGGCUAGGACUACAGGCACCCACCACAAUGCCCGGCUAAUUUUUUGUAUUUUUUUAGUAGAGACAGGGUUUCACCAUGUUAACCAGGAUGGUCUGGAUCUCCUGACCUCGUGAUCCGCCCACCUCAGCCUCCCAAAGUGCUGGGAUUACAGGCAUGAGCCACCGCGCCCGGCCGGUAAUUUAUAGAUUUAAUGCCAUCCCCAUCAAGCUACCAAUGACUGUCUUCACAGAAUUGGAAAAAGCUACUUUAAAGUUCACAUGGAACCAAAAAAGAGCCCACAUUGCCAAGACUGUGGGGGAAAUAAAGAGAGAUCAGGCUGUUACUGUGUCUAUGCAGAAAGAAGAAGACAUAAGAAACUCCAUUUUGUUCUGUAGUAAGAAAAAUUCUUCUGCCUUGAGAUGCUAUUAAUCUGUAACGCUAGCCCCAACCCUGUGGUCACAGAAAUAUUUGCUGUGUUGACUCAAGGUUUAAUGGAUAUAGGGCUGUGCAGGAUGUGCUUUGUUAAAAAUGUGUUUGCACGCAGUAUGCUUGGUAAAAGUCAUCACCCUUCUCUGGUCUCAAGUACCCAGGGACACAAUGCACUGUCGAAGGCCACAGGGACCUCUGCCCAAGAACGCCUGGGUAUUGUCCAAGGUUUCUCCCCACUGAGACAGCCUGAGACAUGGCCUCGUGGGAAGGGAAAGACCUUACCGUCCCCCAGCCCGAUACCCAUAAAGGGUCUGUGCUGAGGAGGAUUAGUGAAAGAGGAAGGCCUCUUUGCAGUUGAGAUAAGAGGAAGGCAUCUGUCUCCUGCUCGUCCCCGGGAAUGGAAUGUCUUGGUGUAAAACCCGAACGUACAUUCUAUUUACUGAGAUGGGAGAAAACUGCCUUAUGGCUGGAGGUGAGACAUGCUGGCGACAAUACUGCUCUUUACUGCACUGAGAUGUUUGUGUAAAGUCAAACAUAAAUCUGGCCUACAAGCACAUCGAGGCACAGCACCUUUCCUUAAACUUAUUUAUGACACAGAGUCCUUUGUUCACAUGUUUUCCUGCUGACCCUCUCCCCACCCUGCCACAUCCCCCUCACCAAGAUAGUAGAGAUAGUGAUCAAUAAAUACUGAGGGAACUCAGAGACCAGAGCCGGUGCGGGUCCUCCAUAUGCUGAGCGCUGGUCCUCUGGGCCCACUGUUCUUUCUCUAUACUUUGUCUCUGUGUCUUAUUUCUUUUCUCAGUCUCUCAUCACACCUGAUGAGAAAUACCCACAGGUGUGGAGGGGCUGGCCCCCUUCAAAGACAAUCCUAAGCAAAAAGAACAAAACUGGAGGCAUCAUGCUACCUGACUUCAAAGGAUACUACAAGGCUACAGUAACCAAAACAGCAUGGUACUGGUACCAAAACAGAGAGAUAAACCAAUGGAAGAGAACAGAGCCCUCAGAAAUAAUACCAUACAUCUACAACCAUCUGAUCUUUGACAAACCUGACAAAAACAAGAAAUGGGGAAAGGAUUCCCUAUUUAAUAAAUAGUGCUGGGAAAACUGGCUAGCCAUAUGUAGAAAGCUAAAACUGGAUCCUUUCCUUACACCUUAUACAAAAAUUAAUUCAAGAUGGAUUAAAGACUUAAAUAUUAGACCUAAAAACCAUAAAAACCCUAGAAGAAAACCUAGGCAAUACCAUUCAGGACACAAGCAUGGGCAAUGACUUCAUGACUAAAACACCAAAAGCAAUGGCAACAAAAGCCAAAAUUGACAAAUGGGAUCUAAUUAAACUAAAGAGCUUCUGCACAGCAAAAGAAACCACCAUCAGAGUGAAGAGGCAACCUACAGAAUGGGAGAAAAUUUUUGCAAUCUACCCAUCUGACAAAGGGCUAAUAUCCAGAAUCUACAAAGAACUUAAACAAGUUUACAAGAAAAAAUCAAACAACCCCAUCACAAAGUGGGCAAAGGAUAUGAACAGACACUUCUCAAAAGAAGACAUUUAUGCAGCCAACAGACACAUGAAGAAAUGCUCAUCAUCACUGGUCAUCAGAGAAAUGCAAAUCAAAACCACAAUGAGAUACCAUCUCACACCAGUUAGAAUGACGAUCAUUAAAAAGUCAUGAAACAACAGAUGCUGGAGAGGAUGUGGAGAAACAGGAACACUCUUACACUGUUGAUGGGAGUGUGAAUUGGUUCAACCAUUGCGGAAGACAGUGUGGUGAUUCCUCAAGGAUCUGGAACUAGAAAUACCAUUUGAUCCAGCCAUCCCAUUACGGGGUAUAUACCCAAAGGAUUAUAAAUCAUGUUACUAUAAAGACACAUGCACAUGUAUGUUUACUGCAGCACUAUUUACAAUAGCAAAGACUUGUAACCAACCCAAAUGUCCAUCAAUGAUAGACUGGAUUAAGGAAAUGUGGCACAUAUACACCAUGGAAUACUAUGCAGCCAUAAAAAAGGAUGAGUUCAUGUCCUUUGCAGGGACAUGGAUGAAACUGGAAACCAUCAUUCUGAGCAAACUACCACAAGGACAGAAAACCAAACACUACACGCUCUCACUCAUAGGUGGGAAUUGAACAAUGAGAACACUUGGACACAGGGUAGGGAAUAUCACACACCCAGGCCUGUCAUGGGGUGGGGGGAGGGAGGAGGGAUAACAUUGGGAGGAAUAUCUAAUGUAAAUGAUGAGUUAAUGGGUGCAGCACACCAACUUGGCACAUGUAUAUGUAUGUAACAAACCUGCACAUUGUGCACAUGUACACUCGAACUUAAAAGUAUAAUAAAAAAAUUUUAAAAAGAAAGUAGCAUUUUAGAAAACAACUUCUCAAUAAAUAGCCUAUAAACAAAAAAAAAAGUAAAAAGAAAAAUAAGUGCAUCCUAUAGACAACACAACACAAUGGGCCAUGACCCAGCCAGGACAUGCCAACCUGUGAAGCUGGACAGAUAGAUGCCUAGAGCAGAGCCCAGGCUGCCCACAAGAAAUUGCUGAAAACUAAGGCUUAGGACAGACUGGAACCCAGAAAAGAAAGGAACCCCGGUCUUGGUCAUGGUUCAUGGCACCACUCCUUUAUAACAAUGCCCUAGAAGAAGCCCAUGCACCUCAGUGGGAGCACUCAUGCUGUUCUUGGGGAACCUUCAUAGGACUGUGCCCUGCCUUGAGCUGGAAGUCUCUGCAGUAGACAUCCUUCCAUAUUUUGUUCUUCAUCUUCUGAACGCCUUCAAGGUUUUUCAAUUGGAAAAAUUCUAUCUGCAUAAUCAACAAUGUGCUAAGGAACUCUACUUUUAGAUCUUCUUAGAAUUCAUAGUUCUUUGUACAUGAGGAUUAAAGCAUUCUUCUGUAUUCUCCACUUGUGAAAUAGAUUUGAGGUUGGUGGAGUCAGGAUUGGAAACACAUACAGGUGGGCAGGGGCAUGAAAGGGACUGGGACCCAGAUCAGAGCUGGAGGCUGAACUCCAGGGAGCCUUUGAAUAGCUAUGGAUAUCACCAGGGUGGGAAGGGACAGUGCUCCACUGUCCUGGGAUUCUCUUGAAACUGAGCUUGGCCUCCCUGCUGAGAGCAGAGAACAACCAUCAAUAAAUAUUCCUUCAAUGGUCUGAAGUUUACGUUUACAGGGUGGAGGUGGAAAUUAAAUUUAGGGAGCCAUGAGGAAGACCCCCAGCCCUGUGCCUUUUGAAUUGACAACCAUGGCAUUUCAGGGCAUCAGCUCCAGGUCAGGCAUUCUCAGGCAGUUGCAUAAUUCUGCCAAUGUGGGGCCCGCCCACCUCAAAAAUCCACAUGGAUUGGAUCCAGCAAAACCAAAUAUUCAGCAAAACUUCAAGAUCUAGCAACACUGAAGGCUCAAGUACAUCACCGGUGCAUACUUGGCCCAAGGAGGCUAUUCUCUCACAAUCUCUACCCAGCUCCGGGCCUGCAGCAUCUGAGACUCACUCCUUCAAGCUGCAGGUAUCCCAGGAAAAAGAUUUAUGCAUCCUCAUAGCUUCAACAUGCAGUGUGUCAGGCACAGAAAAAUGGUUGUCUUCAGAAAGUGAUAAAAAAAACAUGCAGUAGCAAUCACCCUUUGGACUUUGAAACUUUUCUGUCACCUUAGAUGUCAGAAACUAAAACCCAGAAACUUGGUGUUGGCAUUAAUUUGGUCUAGCUAUGAAGACUUUUUUUUUUUUUUUUUCACACAGUGACAGUUCUGAAUUUGAAUAUAAAGGAGCUUAGGUGCUAUAAUCUGAAUGGAACGUGGGAAUAAAACUGUCUUUGCCUUGUACUUCUUGUUAGAUUAAUUAAAUACCAAUUAUCAGUAUAAGAAAAUGGCAAUAAAUUGUCAAAGUGGAAUUGGAAAGUGUUUUUAGGAUUUGGAUAUGAAGCAGGCUUCCCAUGUGACCAUUCUCACUUCUUAUUCUGAAGUCUAACACUCUGCUUUUCUUUCUCUCCCUCUCUUCAUUGAUUCUUCUAGUGGCUGGUGUUUGGGUAUUGUGGGAACUGAGCUUUCAUCUCCUAUGUUAGCCAUAGAGAUGAGGGCUUUGAGGGCACCAUGGAAUCCGAUUGCUGGAAAUAAAUCAAUCUUAAAGGAAAGGAAAAUUUAAAAAUCAGGUGCAACAAAAGCAAAAUGAGAAAACUGCUAAACUCUACAAUUCUAUAAAGAAGAAUUGCAUAAAAAGGAAAUAACAGGAAAAGGUAAGAAAAUUUAAAAGGAUAUCAGAAAAUAUAGCAUACAGGGUCAGAAAGAUUUGAGAAUAUGACGAGAUGGUUUUAGAAGGCAGGAUGGGGCCGGGCACGGUGGCUCAUGCCUAUAAUCCCAGCACUUUGGGAGGCUGAGGCAGACGGAUCACGAGGUCAGGAGAUCGAGACCAUCCUGGCUAACACGGUGAAACCCUGUCUCUACUAAAAAUACAAAAAAAAAAAAAAAAAAAAAAAUUAGCCGGGCGUGUUGGCGGGCACCUGUAGUCCCAGCUACUCGGGAGGCUGAGGCAGGAGAUUGGCGUGAACACGGGAGGCGGAGCUUGCAGUGAGCGGAGAUCGCGCCACUGCACUCCAGCCUGGGAAACAGCGAGACUCUGGCUCAAAAAAAAAAAAAAAAAAAAAAAAAAAGGCAGGAUGGGCUGGGCGCGGUGGUUCACGCCUGUAAUCCCAGCACUUUGGGAGGCCGAGGCGGGCCGAUCGCCUCAGGUCAGGAGUUCGAGACCAGCCUGACCAACAUGGAGAAACCCCGUCUCUACUAAAAAUACAAAAUUAGCCGGGCAUGGUGGCC
rnacentral:lncRNA from 1 species